CAGAUUGAACGCUGGCGGCAGGCCUAACACAUGCAAGUCGAACGGUAGCACAGAGGAGCUUGCUCCUUGGGUGACGAGUGGCGGACGGGUGAGUAAUGUCUGGGAAACUGCCUGAUGGAGGGGGAUAACUACUGGAAACGGUAGCUAAUACCGCAUAACGUCGCAAGACCAAAGUGGGGGACCUUCGGGCCUCACACCAUCGGAUGUGCCCAGAUGGGAUUAGCUAGUAGGUGGGGUAAUGGCUCACCUAGGCGACGAUCCCUAGCUGGUCUGAGAGGAUGACCAGCCACACUGGAACUGAGACACGGUCCAGACUCCUACGGGAGGCAGCAGUGGGGAAUAUUGCACAAUGGGCGCAAGCCUGAUGCAGCCAUGCCGCGUGUAUGAAGAAGGCCUUCGGGUUGUAAAGUACUUUCAGCGGGGAGGAAGGCGAUGGAGUUAAUAGCUUCAUCGAUUGACGUUACCCGCAGAAGAAGCACCGGCUAACUCCGUGCCAGCAGCCGCGGUAAUACGGAGGGUGCAAGCGUUAAUCGGAAUUACUGGGCGUAAAGCGCACGCAGGCGGUCUGUCAAGUCGGAUGUGAAAUCCCCGGGCUUAACCUGGGAACUGCAUUCGAAACUGGCAGGCUAGAGUCUUGUAGAGGGGGGGUAGAAUUCCAGGGUGUAGCGGUGAAAUGCGUAGAGAUCUGGAGGAAUACCGGUGGCGAAAGGCGGCCCCCUGGACAAAGACUGACGCUCAGGUGCGAAAGCGUGGGGAGCAAACAGGAUUAGAUACCCUGGUAGUCCACGCCGUAAACGAUGUCGACUUGGAGGUUGUGCCCUUGAGGCGUGGCUUCCGGAGCUAACGCGUUAAGUCGACCGCCUGGGGAGUACGGCCGCAAGGUUAAAACUCAAAUGAAUUGACGGGGGCCCGCACAAGCGGUGGAGCAUGUGGUUUAAUUCGAUGCAACGCGAAGAACCUUACCUACUCUUGACAUCCAGCGAAUUCGGUAGAGAUACCUUAGUGCCUUCGGGAACGCUGAGACAGGUGCUGCAUGGCUGUCGUCAGCUCGUGUUGUGAAAUGUUGGGUUAAGUCCCGCAACGAGCGCAACCCUUAUCCUUUGUUGCCAGCGGUCCGGCCGGGAACUCAAAGGAGACUGCCAGUGAUAAACUGGAGGAAGGUGGGGAUGACGUCAAGUCAUCAUGGCCCUUACGAGUAGGGCUACACACGUGCUACAAUGGCGCAUACAAAGAGAAGCGACCUCGCGAGAGCAAGCGGACCUCAUAAAGUGCGUCGUAGUCCGGAUUGGAGUCUGCAACUCGACUCCAUGAAGUCGGAAUCGCUAGUAAUCGUAGAUCAGAAUGCUACGGUGAAUACGUUCCCGGGCCUUG
rnacentral:rRNA from 1 species